rnacentral:rRNA from 1 species
AGGACGAACGCUGGCGGCGUGCUUAACACAUGCAAGUCGAGCGAGGCCCUUCCUUCGGGAAGGUGCCCUAGCGGCGAACGGGUGAGUAACACGUGGGCAACCUGCCCCUAGCACUGGGAUAACUCCGGGAAACCGGGGCUAAUACCGGAUAUCACCUUUGAGGGCAUCCUCUUUGGUUGAAAGGAUUCUGGCUAGGGAUGGGCCCGCGGCCUAUCAGCUUGUUGGUGGGGUAAUGGCCUACCAAGGCGACGACGGGUAGCCGGCCUGAGAGGGCGACCGGCCACACUGGGACUGAGACACGGCCCAGACUCCUACGGGAGGCAGCAGUGGGGAAUAUUGCACAAUGGGCGAAAGCCUGAUGCAGCGACGCCGCGUGAGGGAUGACGGCCUUGGGUUGUAAACCUCUUUCAGCAGGGACGAAGCGAAAGUGACGGUACCUGCAGAAGAGCACCGGCCAACUACGCGCCAGCAGCCGC